CCCUCCCAUGGCUUACUCUACCUUCCCCCACUUCAGAUAUUAACCAGGACAUCAUGCCUUCCAAACAUUAAAUGAGCUGAGCGAUGUUUUAUUACAUUUCUCAUGUGGCUAAGCUUAGUGUGGCUUUUAAGUGUUCCUUGGUAUGCCGUGCUUACCCAAGUUAUUUUCUGCUGUGGAUUGUUGAUGCUGCAGCAGCAGAUGUGCCUUGAAUUCCAAUGAGGAGAAGGAAUUGGAGGGGGGGGAAAAAUUAUUCAGUUGUGACCAGUCAUGGGAAGUUCCACCCCAAAGGAACAUCUUUGACAGGCUCCCAGACCUUACAACCCAAAGUCACUUCUGAACGCAUAUCUACCUCUACCAGCAUCCUGUUUUAAUGAGGACAUUCAAAG